rnacentral:tRNA from 1 species
UCCCUCGAGCCGGAUUUGAACCAGAGACCUAAGGAUCACCGUUGUAACAUCUACAGUACUCCGCUCUGCCAACUGAGCUAUCGAGGG